rnacentral:rRNA from 1 species
CCUACGGGGGGCAGCAGUGGGGAAUAUUGGACAAUGGGGGAAACCCUGAUCCAGCGACGCCGCGUGAGUGAAGAAGUAUUUCGGUACGUAAAGCUCUAUCAGCAGGAAAGAAAAUGACGGUACCUGACUAAGAAGCCCCGGCUAACUACGUGCCAGCAGCCGCGGUAAUACGUAGGGGGCAAGCGUUAUCCGGAUUUACUGGGUGUAAAGGGGGCGUAGGCGGCAGCGCAAGUCUGGAGUGAAAUGCCGGGGCCCAACCCCGGAACUGCGCUGGAACCGGUGAGGCUGGAGUGCAGGAGAGGUAGGCGGAAUGCCGGGUGGAGUGGUGAAAUGCGUAGAGAGCAGGAGGAACACGGGCGGCGAAGGCGGCUUACUGGACUGUAACGGACGUUGAGGCUCGAAGGCGGGGGGAGAAAACAGGAGUAGAUACCCUUGUAGUC